GACGAACCACACAAACGUUAUUCGGAAUUACUGGGCUUAAAGGGUGCGUAGGCGGCGCGGAAAGUUGGGUGUGAAAUCCCUCGGCUCAACCGAGGAACUGCGCUCAAUACUACCGUGCUCGAGGGAGACAGAGGUGAGCGGAACUUAGGGUGGAGCGGUGAAAUGCGUAGAUAUCUGGAGGAACACCGGUGGCGAAGGCGACAUCCUGGACCAACACUGACGCUGAGGAGCGAAAGCCAGGGGAGCAAACGGG
rnacentral:rRNA from 1 species